UCAAAACUAGUUUGUUUAAACUAUAUAAUUGGCAUAAAUCUGAUCAUGAUAAGAAUGUUGGGGCUAGUCCUUUAAGUGCACCAGGGAGCACUUCCCUUGGAGAAGCAUCUUCCCAACCAAAAGAACCAUCACCUUUUACAAGGGCUAAUGCUUUUAAGAAACAUCUGAAGGAAAAAGACACAAUUGAAAAUGAAAAUGAACUAGAGAAGUACUUAGGUGACCCUUGUUGCGGGGAGGGGGAAAAUUUUAGUAUUCUUAAUUGGUGGAAGGAAAAUUGCACCCGUUAUCCUAUAUUAGCAACCUUGGUUCGGGAUGUGUUGGAAACACCUGUUUCUAGUGUAGCCUCAGAAAGUGCUUUUAGCACGGGGGGAGGAUUUUAGAUAUCUAUAGGAGCUCUUUGAGUCCAGAUAUGGUCGAAGCGCUUAUAUGUACUCAAAACUGGUUGAAGCCUUCUGACAAUGAUCUAAAUGUCCUUAAUAUGACUGAAGAAUAUGAGAUUAGUGAAUCAAUUGUUUCAGAGUUUCAAGUAGCUACUGGUGGAGCAGCUGCUCCUACACAGGUUGGGCCUGUUUAAUUCUCGCCUAGCUGUGAAUUUUUGAAUAUUUUGGAGUCACUUUGUGAUUCAAUAAGACAAGCCUUUCUUUUUUGGAGUCAUUUUUUGAAACUAAGGAUGGAACCGUUUCAGUAGCUACUGCGUUUGCUGGUCAUCAGGCACGUUGUCUUGGGCUUAUGCAAUUGUUCUUACCGAAUAUACUGGGAUGAUGUUACUUGAGGAGAUGGCCUGUGUAAUGUUCUCUUGCCUGUGUUGUUAGUUCUGUGCCUUCUCAUUCAAGUUCCAUUGAGUGUGUUGGGUUCGCACCAAGGUAUGAUUUAAGAUUAGUAAACUUUUUAUAAGAUUAGUUAACUGUUCAUAAUCUGCGUGCAUGUGCAUUUCUGCACAUUUUCAUGUCAUGUAUGCUUGAUGGAUC